ACUCAAAUGAAUUGACGGGGGCUCACACCAGCGGUGGAGCAUGUGGCUUAAUUCGAGGCUACGCGAAGAACCUUAUCCCAGACUUGACAUGCACGGAUUAGCCGGCGGAAACGUCGGUGACACCCGCAAGGGUGGAACGUGCACAGGUGCUGCAUGGCUGUCGUCAGCUCGUGUUGUGAGAUGUCGGGUUAAGUCCCUUAACGAGCGAAACCCUUGUCCUUAGUUACCAGCGGGUCAUGCCGGGCACUCUAAGGAGACUGCCGGUGUUAAGCCGGAGGAAGGUGGGGAUGACGUCAAGUCCUCAUGGCCUUUAUGUUUGGGGCUGCACACGUGCUACAAUGGGGGGUACAAAGGGGCGCAAGCGUGCGAGCGCAAGCCAAUCCCAAAAAGCCCCUCCCAGUUCGGAUUGCGGGCUGCAACCCGCCCGCAUGAAGUUGGAAUCGCUAGUAAUCGCAGGUCAGCCAUACUGCGGUGAAUGUGUUCCUGAGCCUUGCACACACCGCCCGU
rnacentral:rRNA from 1 species